rnacentral:rRNA from 1 species
AUUGAACGCUGGCGGCAGGCCUAACACAUGCAAGUCGAGCGAGCGGCGGAAGGGUGAGUAAUGUCUGGGAAACUGCCUGAUGGAGGGGGAUAACUACUGGAAACGGUAGCUAAUACCGCAUACCAUCAGAUGUGCCCAGAUGGGAUUAGCUAGUAGGUGGGGUAAUGGCUCACCUAGGCGACGAUCCCUAGCUGGUCUGAGAGGAUGACCAGCCAAACUGGAACUGAGACACGGGCCAGACUCCUACGGGAGGCAGGAGUGGGGAAUAUUGCACCAUGGGCGCAAUCCUGAUGCAGCCAUGCCGCGUGUGUGAAGAAGGCCGUCGGGUUUGAACGCACUUUCAGCGGGUAGGCGUUACCCGCAGAAGAAGCACCGGCUAACUCCGUGCCAGCAGCCGCGGUAAUAC